UACGAAGGGGGCUAGCGUUGCUCGGAAUCACUGGGCGUAAAGCGCACGUAGGCGGGUUGUUAAGUCGGGGGUGAAAUCCUGGAGCUCAACUCCAGAACUGCCUUCGAUACUGGCGACCUUGAGUCCGGGAGAGGUGAGUGGAACUCCGAGUGUAGAGGUGAAAUUCGUAGAUAUUCGCAAGAACACCAGUGGCGAAGGCGGCUCACUGGCCCGGUACUGACGCUGAGGCACGAAAGCGUGGGGAGCAAACAGG
rnacentral:rRNA from 1 species